rnacentral:rRNA from 1 species
AUUGAACGCUGGCGGCAGGCCUAACACAUGCAAGUCGAGCGAGCGGCGGACGGGUGAGUAAUGUCUGGGAACCUGCUUGAUGUAGGGGGAUAACUACUGGAAACGGUAGCUCAUACCGCAUACCAUCAGAUGUGCCCAGAUGGGAUUAGCUGGUAGGUGGGGUAACGGCUCACCUAGGCGACGAUCCCUAGCUGGUCUGCGGGGAUGACCAGCCACACUGGAACGUGGACACGGCCCAGAUUCCUACGGGGGGAAGCAGUGGGGAAUAUUGCACAAUGGGCGCAAGCCUGAUGCAGCCAGGCCGCGUGUAUGAAGAAGGCCUUCGGGUUGUAAAGUACUUUCAGCGGGGAGGCGUUACCCGCAGAAGAAGCACCGGCUAACUCCGUGCCAGCAGCCGCGGUAAUAC